rnacentral:lncRNA from 1 species
AGCAGAGGAGGAUAUGCGUUUAAAGGUAUGUGGCUUCCCGCUGGCAGAGCUUUGAUGCUAGCAAGCACAUAAUAGCUUAACAUCUACGACAGUAGGCUAGCCNCUUGCCGUACACACGACAAUGUACGACACAGAGAUAAGCCCCGUGCCGUACACCUUGUUGUACGACAAGGGGGUAGCCCCUUGCCGGUAUAAGCUACACAUGUGCUGUUCUUAGCAUUUCCACUCGGUUCAUAAGCAUACACAUCGCGUACAGGUACAAGCUCUCUCAACGCACAUUGCACAAAAAGUCACAAGUACUUCAUGGCAAUUGUACACACAUCUUAUACAGAGUGUGCACAUGCUUUGAUUGAACUAACACUACAAAUGAGUGUUCGUGCAGGCCAUCCUAGCCAGGAAACGCCUGCAAUUCAGCAAGUCGCUCCCGUCAAGGAAAACCUACAGUCUCUGUUACUCACCAACUUACUACGCCUGCAAAAGCUAGACUUUUCGUUGGGAAAGGAAACAGAUGCAACAUUCUAAGACGUAUCGAAAAUACGACACACUUAGUUUGUGGCCAAAAAUCGCAGUACACGACACGUACGACAGUACGACUCGAACAACUGCACAAAUAAUGCAAGCGAAUGCAUCACGUCGUACAUUACUAAUUUGCGUACAAUAGUACUGCACGAAUGGUAUGGACAAUAUAAAUCGGAAACAAGAAACAGACUGUGUCUUCAGACUGCCUUGUCCAUAUGGAAUGAGAAAGUAUGCUAACUCAUUGCGGUGUAAUCACAAUAUUAACACACCAACGGACUCUCACACAUUUUGGUCGCAAAGGGCAAUUUGCACAAG